CUCUUCAUUUAACGGAUUAUAGUUUGAAUCGGACAGCAGUCAAUCAAACUGUGCCAGCUGAGAAACAGUUGUGCGUGGCAGAGCAGAGGAACGUCCGCGGCUGAAUUCAGAUGGAGCCCUUGGAAAGGGCGAUGCUGUAUCAACGAAAAAAAUUGAUUGCAAUUUACAAAACAUGCGAGAAGAAAAUUACAGGCGGAGGCGCAACAAUUGCCAACUUUGUUCGACAUUUGAAGCUGCACAAAGAACGGUAGUCAAUCAACUCACCUUGUGGUCCAGUUCCUCCUCAGUGUUCCUGCUCUCAGCCCAUACCAUCACACCUCCUCCUCCAUGCUUCACGGUGGGAACCACACAUGCGGAGAUCAUCCGUUCACAUACUCUGCGUCUCACAAAGACACGAUGGUUGGAACGCCUAGGUCAUUGUGUUUUUGUUAAUUCUACUCUACCCCACCCCCUCUCUCUCUGUCUCUCUCUCUCUCUCUCUCUCUCUAACCCACCACCCCUCUCUCUGUCUCUCUCUCUCUCUCUCUCU